AUGUCGUGCGACAAGAGCCGGUCGAAAGCACUGACGCUGGCCUCCAGAGCUGCCGGGGUGACGUCGAUGGGCAUAACCGGCGACGCGAGGGACCAGCUGGAGGUGGUCGGCGACGGCAUCGACCCGGUGUGCCUCGUCAGCUGCCUCCGCAAGAAGCUCGGUCACGCCCAAAUCAUCAAGGUGGAAGAAGUGAAGAAACCGGAGGAGAAGGAGGAGGAACCGAAGCCGGCCGUGCCGGUGAACCCGCCGCAGUACUACUACUCCCCGGCGCCGGCCGGCUACUACCACCACCACCAAUACCCGCCGCACAUGGUCGUCUGCGAGGAACAGCCUAGCAACUGCCGGACCAUGUAA
rnacentral:rRNA from 1 species